UAGGAGCAGCUUCCUACUGUAGCAGAUGGGAACAAAUACAGAGACCUUCAACUAGACAAUAUGCAGAGAGGAAGAGAACUUGAACACUCAACCCUAAACUGGACCUCUCCAAUCAGACUCCUCCCCUCAGGACAUAGGGAACCCUGUGGAAGAGGAGGCUCCAUCCACUCUGGCUGGUGUGAAGCUUCCUCCCAACACUGCUUAGCUGGACCAUCAAGAGGAAGUCCUAUCCACACCUCCACCACCAGGAGGGUCUUCUCAAUUCUGCAUUUCAUCAGAUGGCCCUAAUCUGCAUUGUCAUCCAGGACGAGGUGUUAGAGACCUGCUCCAACCCUGACAAUAAGUGACACUGGAGCAGGAUCUUGAACCCACCAACGCCUUGCAUGGAUGCCUGGUAUCCUAAGACAAUUAGCAUGCCUACAUCAUGUGUUUGUCCCUACUGGUCUCCUGAAAUUUCUCUUUGCUUGUGAGUGAUUCAGUCAAACUAAUAUAGCACACAUGGCUAGAAGGACAAAAGUCAAGUGCAGGGUCUGGAGAGAUGGCUGCUGCAUUUUGAGUAGUUUCUCUCCCAAAGGACCAACAGAGCAGCUAAAAAGCCACUGUAACUCCAGGUUCAGGUGGAAUCUGAUGCCAUCUUCUGGCCUCUGGUGGAAUUGCAUGCAUGUGGUGUGCAGCCCUGCUGCAGGCAAAAUGUCCCUACCUAUAAAUAAAAGAAAUAAAUCUUUAAGAAAUUGAA